CUCUACCUAUAAAACUGAACCUUUUAGACCAGCGGUCAGCGACCUGCGUCUCUUCAGAUCCUCUCCAGCGGCUCCCUGUGGAGUUUUAAAAAUGGAAAUGAAUAACUGUUUUUUUGUUUACAUUUUCAUUUUUAUUUAUGAUUGUUGUAGGUCAAUGGUA